rnacentral:rRNA from 1 species
GACGAACGCUGGCGGCGUGCUUAACACAUGCAAGUCGAACGGAAAGGCCCUGCUUUUGUGGGGUGCUCGAGUGGCGAACGGGUGAGUAGCACGUGAGUAACCUGCCCUUGACUUUGGGAUAACUUCAGGAAACUGGGGCUAAUACCGGAUAGGAGCUCCUGCUGCAUGGUGGGGGUUGGAAAGUUUCGGCGGUUGGGGAUGGACUCGCGGCUUAUCAGCUUGUUGGUGGGGUAGUGGCUUACCAAGGCUUUGACGGGUAGCCGGCCUGAGAGGGUGACCGGCCACAUUGGACUGAGAUACGGCCCAGACUCCUACGGGAGGCAGCAGUGGGGAAUAUUGCACAAUGGGCGGAAGCCUGAUGCAGCAACGCCGCGUGCGGGAUGACGGCCUUCGGGUUGUAAACCGCUUUCGCCUGUGACGAAGCGUGAGUGACGGUAAUGGGUAAAGAAGCACCGGCUAACUACGUG